rnacentral:sRNA from 1 species
CCCCACUGCUGGGGAAGGGCCCCAUUCAGCUGCCCCUGGCUAGCAGAAGCCCGUGCCCACCCACAGCGGCCACCCCCUAGAGGCUGCCUGGGCCCUGCCUGCAGCGACCACUGUCACCCCCUCGUCCCCCCCAGGUACUCUGCUGGACACGAACGGCCUGUACGAUGAGGAUGUGUGCACCCCCGACAACCUGCAGAACAAGAGCUCGGGCCAGAAGGGGCGGAAGGAGCUGCUGAAGGGCAACGGCCGGCGCAUCGACUACAUGCUGCACGCAGAGGAGGGGCUGUGCCCAGACUGGAAGGCCGUGAGUCAGGCGGGCCCAGCAGCCAGGGCCAUGCAAAGAGAGAGCAGGGCCCGGGCCCUGCAGCUCUCGACAGCCGCUCCCUGAAACCCCACGCCCCAGGCCACUCUUACAAUGAUACCCAUCACUCCCUCAGACCCUUAGGGCCCCAGGUCCUCCAGGCCCCAUCCCUCUGACUGCAGGAAGGUCACAGCCCACCCCAGCCCCGGGGCCUCACUUUGGGGAUCCCCAGGCCGCUCCCUGCAAGAUACCCUUGGAAUCUGACCAGGCUGUUUCUCCCCUCUCCCACUCACCCCAGGAGGUGGAA